CCUACGGGUGGCAGCAGUGAGGAAUAUUGGUCAAUGGCCGGAAGUCUGAACCAGCCAAGCCGCGUGAAGGACGAAGGUGCCAAGCAUUGUAAACUUCUUUUGUCAAGGGACAAAAUCAGGCUCGAGAGCCUGACCGAGGGUACUUGAAGAAUAAGCAUCGGCUAACUCCGUGCCAGCAGCCGCGGUAAUACGGAGGAUGCGAGCGUUAUCCGGAUUUAUUGGGUUUAAAGGGUGCGUAGGCGAACGGUUAAGUCAGCGGGAAAAGCCCGGGGCUCAACCCCGGCGAGCCGUUGAAACUGGCUGUCUUGAGAUGUCUAGCGGUAUGCGGAAUGCGCAGUGUAGCGGUGAAAUGCUUAGAGAUUGUGCAGAACACCGAUUGCGAAGGCAGCAUACCGACG
rnacentral:rRNA from 1 species